CCGCCGUCUCGGCUCCCUCCCUCCGCAGCUUGACCCGGUAGUGAAGGCGGAGAGAGAGGCAGGCUGGGUCCGCCUGGCAGCCUGCGAGAGGAGGCGGGAGUGGGAAAGGAGGGGAACCGAGGCCCGGCGUGGGGCUGUGAGCCCAGUGAGGACCUUUCUUCAGCCUGUGCGCGGCCGAGCGGUGUGCCGGGAUAUCCCGAGCGUUUGAGGGCGCCCGGAGUUCCUCAGACCGGGGCUCGGCUCAAGCAGAAAUAGCGAGACCCGGGCGCGUUGCGUGCCCCAGUGCCCGGGGCUGCGGCUCGAGCGCGGCGAGGCUCCAGGCACGAGAUCCUGCCGUGAGGACGCCGGGCGGGCGGCCGGGACCCGGCGUGGACUGCGGGAGCAGGCCGGGAGCCGGGGGAGGCGUAGGAGUUCGCUAUGUAGAGCGGCUUUGUCUCCACGUUUCAGUCAAACUCCCUGCGGAGUUCUCAGAAUUCCCCCUGCGAGGAGCGGAAAGUUAGAAAACUGCAGGCUGGGCGCGCUGCCAGAGAGGGAGGCGGGCGAAGCCGCAGCACAGGCCCGGGGCAGGCCCAGCGCGCGUCAGGCCGGGCGCACUUCGCGGAGGGGCGGAGUUGUGAAAAGCAAUCCCGCGGCGGCGGGGAAGGGUCUUCGCUUUUUGUUGGGAAAAACGGAAAUACCGGGGCUUUAGGGUAAGGGGCGGGGGCGGUUGCAGUGAGCAGCCUCCUCUGGGCCAAAACCAGAGAACUGCGGCCGAGACGGCCGGGCCACGCCCUCGCCCCGGAGAGCCCUCAGACCCGGCUGCUACCCCGGGAAGGAACCUUAAGAUGACCCGACCCGAGAGCCACCUGCUGUAGAGAAAGAAAAGAAGGCUCCCACGGUGAACGUGGCGGCAGAAUCGAGGCAGAACCCAGCUCGCUGGCCCACAACCAGGCCCCCUUCCCUUCACCAAGAUUGCAGCCGGGAAGAGCCUACAGCACAAAUGAAGAGGGAGAAGUCAUCUUGCCUCUGUGAUUAGAUAAGCAUGAAGAUAAAGCUCCCCUGUGAGGAUGAUGAAGCAAAAUGGUAGAAGGGGCCUAGACUCCCUUCCUUCGGACAUCUUGUUGUGGGGAAAAUAAAAUACUAUUACAAGGUUAAGCUA